GCCACGCCCGCUCAAGAAACUCAAAUGAAUUGACGGGGGCCCGCACAAGCGGAGGAGCAUGUGGUUUAAUUCGAUGAUACGCGAGGAACCUUACCUGGGCUCGAACGUAAGAUGACUGUAGGUGAAAGCUUACAUCUCUUCGGAGCAUUUUACGAGGUGCUGCAUGGUUGUCGUCAGCUCGUGCCGUGAGGUGUCGGGUUAAGUCCCAUAACGAGCGCAACCCCUACCUUUAGUUGCCAUCAGGUAAUGCUGGGGACUCUAAAGGAACUGCCUACGCAAGUAGUGAGGAAGGCGGGGAUGACGUCAAAUCAGCACGGCCCUUACGUCCAGGGCUACACACGUGCUACAAUGGCCGAUACAGAGGGCAGCUACCUGGUGACAGGAUGCAAAUCUCCAAAGUCGGUCUCAGUUCGGAUCGGAGUCUGCAACCCGACUCCGUAAAGUUGGAUUCGCUAGUAAUCGCGCAUCAGCCAUGGCGCGGUGAAUACGUUCCCGGGCCUU
rnacentral:rRNA from 1 species